GUCAAAAAGCAUUGUGCCAAUAACAGUGUCCUAACCUAACGCCACCUGACCCAAUCUAAUUCAUCCUAACCUUGCCUAAUUUAACCAAGAUUAGCCCAACACCUAUCCUAUGCAAGUCUAAUGUAUCUGAGGCUUUGUGCCAGACUUGUUGUAGCCCAAUGUGUUAUGUCAUGUGUGUUAUGUGGGCAGCUGUUGUCUUCCUGUGUGUGUCUCUCCCCUUUUCCCCCACUGUGUCUGCGUGUGUGUAUGUGUGUACGGCCGGUAGAUCUACCUCUCUGGACAGCUGCUGGUUAUUCCACUUACCAACUCUACAGUAUUUAUUCCUGGGUGAAGCUCACCCCCGGCGCCAGAUCGAUGCACCUACCAGUGAGGGAACUUGGCUUAACUACUUGACCUACGCCUCCAGACCUGUUGCCGUGGCUCAUCACGCUCAAGCCUUCCUACCUUCCCGCUUGGAUUCCAGAAAGAAAGUUUGGAUCCAGCACUGCCUGCCCUCCUCGGCCCCUAUCCAGCUCGGAGUCCGCCUACCUUGUGUUUUCUGUCCUUGGCUGCUGUAAGUACAGAAGUUACAUUAAAACGUUUUAAUGGGGCUUUGUUGGGGCAACGUGACCAGCUAAUUCGUACUGUAAUGGAUCACAAACCACCAACUGCUAGGCGUUGGAAUCACCAGACGCCUCCCAAUACGAUAUCAUCACAAUACCAUAUUAUUGGGAUUUCAAAAAUAUUCCAAUAUUCUGCAAUAUAGUAUAUCAAAUUUAGAAUCUUUUCUCCAACUUCUAAUUUUUACCAAUUUCAAUUGAUGUCGCUCUGCAGUUUAUUGUGGAGGUGGAUGCUUCUGACUGGGGGGGUGGGAGCCGUCCUUUCCCAACGCUCCCCCACAGACCAGAAGCUUUACCCUUGUGCUCUCUUUCCAAGAAAUUGUCUCCCACAGAAAGAAACUACAACGUUGGAAACCGAGAACGACUGGUCUGGACCGACCAUAAAAACUUGGCAUUAAUCCAAUCCACCAAAAGACUCACCUCACGUCAAGCCAGAGUGCCAUCCCCAAUCCAUGGGUCAGACUGAGAGAGCCAACCAGGACCUAGGAGCAUCCCUUCGUUGUGUGUCUGCUCAGCGUCCGUCCUCCUGGGUCAACAUCUGCCGUGGAUUGAGUAAGCCCACAACUCCCUGACCACCUCCGCCACUGGCUUCUCACCUUUCGAGGUCGCCCUAGGAUACCAACACCCCCCCCCCUUGUUUCCUGCUCAGGAGAAGGAACUGGCUGUUCCCUCGGUUCAGGAGAACCUAAAUUAAAGUUUGGAGCGACGCCCGGGAAGCCCAGCUCAACGAAGCCAAACUCACCACCGGAGCCAGAUCGUUGCACCUACCAGUGUGACCUACGCCUCCAGACCUGUUGCCGUGGCUCAUCACGCUCAAGCCUUCCUACCUUCCCGCUUGGAUUCCAGAAAGAAAGUUUGGGUCCAGCACUGCCUGCCCUCCUCGGCCCCUAUCCAGCUCGGAGUCAGCCUACCUUGUGUUUUCUGUCCUUGGCUGCUGUAAGUACAGAAGUUACAUUAAAACAUUUUAUUGGUGCUUUGUUGGGGCAACGUGACCAGCUAAUUCGUACUGUAAUGGAUCACAACCACCAACUGCUAGGCGUGGGAAUCACCAGACGCCUCCCAAUACGAUAUCAUCACAAUAUCAUAUUAUUGGGAUUUCAAAAAUAUUCCAAUAUUCUGCAAUAUAGUAUAUCAAAUUUAGAAUCUUUUCUCCAACUUCUAAUUUUUACCAAUUUCAAUUGAUGUCGCUCUGCAGUUUAUUGUGGAGGUGGAUGCUUCUGACUGGGGGGGGUGGGAGCCGUCCUUUCCCAACGCUCCCCCACAGACCAGAAGCUUUACCCUUGUGCUCUCUUUCCAAGAAAUUGUCUCCAGCAGAAAGAAACUACAACGUUGGAAACCGAGAACGACUGGUCUGGACCGACCAUAAAAACUUGGCAUUAAUCCAAUCCACCAAAAGACUCACCUCACGUCAAGCCAGAGUGCCAUCCCCAAUCCAUUGGUUGGACUGAGAGAGCCAACCAGGACCUAGAAGCAUCCCUUCGUUGUGUGUCUGCUCAGCGUCCGUCCUCCUGGACCAACAUCUGCCGUGGAUAGAGUAUGCCCACAACUCCCUGACCACCUCCGCCACUGGCCUCUCACCUUUCGAGGUCGCCCUAGGAUACCAACACCCCCCCCCCCCCCCCCCCCCC